rnacentral:lncRNA from 1 species
GUGGGGGUGAGGGGUGAGGGGCUCUGUGCCUAUGGGGUGGGGGUGAAGGGCUCUGCGCCUAAGGGCUAGUGGUGGUAAGAGGCUCUGCUCCUAUGGGGUGGGGAGGCCCCUGGGGUGGAUAAGUUCAGCUGUGGGGAGGCAGUGGGAAGCUGGUUUGGGUAGCGGGUUCAGACUUGUUUCCAGGCAAGGGUAUCAGAGCCCUGCUGGAUUUCAACCCUCUGACACCCCAAGUCCAAGGUCAGUACCCCAAGUCCUUCCAGGGCAGAACCUCAAAACCCCCACAGGAGUGAUACGAGGUAUGGAACUGGGUUCCUGGACAGCCAGCCUUGUAGGUGUGCAGAGACGUCCUCUUCAUUGUGAUGCUGUCACUAAUACUGUAAAAGAUUGGUCAUUGUUCAGUAGGAGAAAAGAAUUCUGUCUGCACAUUACAGUCGUAAUGCCCCCACUGGCUCUAAGAAUUCCUGAAACAAGGGGCUCAUCUGACCUGACGUCAUGUGUGACCAUGGAGUCCAUCUCCCACGGACGUGAGCUGAGGGAGCAGAAGCCAGAUUGUGUGCCCUUCCCCACACGAAGAGCCUCAGGCAGACAUUGCCAAUUCACCUUUCCGGAGUUGUCUUCUGUUCCGCGUGGGGAGAAGAUGAUCGAGGGGGCUGCUGGGAGCAUAGGGGAGGCACCUUGUGCCCACACACAUCUGCAGAUGAACUCUUGGGGUCAUGCGGAGUGAGUCCUAACUGUGUACGGCUUUAGAGGGCGUCUCCAACUCAACCAACUGCUCAGUGCUCAGAGCAGUCUUAUCUCAUGGAUACAUCAUGACAGAUGCCAAUGGCAAUAUGAAUACCUACAACAGAGAGAAGGACAAAGCUGUCCUGCAGUGCCGGGCUCACCUGCGCCACCGCCUGCAGCCUUUGCUUCCUGACUCAGCCUAACUCCCAAUGUCAGAAUAAAUGCAGGAGAGGGCAGUUUGGUGAUAAAAGGAGAGGAACUAUACUUGGAAAUGAUAUUUUUC